rnacentral:rRNA from 1 species
UUGGAGGGCAAGUCUGGUGCCAGCAGCCGCGGUAAUUCCAGCUCCAAUAGCGUAUAUUAAAGUUGUUGCAGUUAAAAAGCUCGUAGUUGAAUUUCGGGGUUAGCAGGUUGGUCGUGCCACUGGUAUGUACUGGCCUUGCUGAUUCCUCCCUCUUGAUGAGCCGUAAUGCCAUUAAUUUGGUGUUGCGGGGAAUCAGGACCGUUACUUUGAAAAAAUUAGAGUGUUUAAAGCAGGCAUGCGCUUGAAUACAUUAGCAUGGAAUAAUGAAAUAGGACGUUCGAUCUUAUUUUGUUGGUUUCUAGGAUUGACGUAAUGAUUAAUAGGGAUAGUCGGGGGCAUUAGUAUUCAAUUGUCAGAGGUGAAAUUCUUGGAUUUAUUGAAGACUAACUACUGCGAAAGCAUUUGCCAAGGAUGUUUUCAUUAAUCAAGAACGAAAGUUAGGGGAUCGAAGACGAUCAGAUACCGUCGUAGUCUUAACCAUAAACUAUGCCGACUAGGGAUCGAAUGAUGUUAAUUUUUUAAUGACUCAUUCGGCGCCUUACGGGAAAC